rfam:Hordeum vulgare subsp. vulgare, WGS project CAJW01000000 data, contig: morex_contig_345597
AACAUACACCCUCCGUCCCAAAAUUCUUGUCUUAAAUUUAUCUAGACACAAAUGUACGUGACACUUAAAUGUGACUAGAUACAUUUGUAUCGAGACAAAUCUAAGACAAGAAUUUUGGGUUGGUGGGAGUAUAUA